GACGAACGCUGGCGGCGUGCCUAAUACAUGCAAGUCGAACGCACAGUUAUACCGUAGCUUUCUACACCAUAGACUGUGAGUUGCGAACGGGUGAGUAACGCGUAGGUAACCUGCCUGGUAGCGGGGGAUAACUAUUGGAAACGAUAGCUAAUACCGCAUAAUAUUAAUUAUUGCAUGAUAAUUAAUUGAAAGGUGCAAUUGUACCACUACCAGAUGGACCUGCGUUGUAGUAGUUAGGAGGGGAGGUAACGGCUCACCUAGGCGACGAUACAUAGCCGACCUGAGAGGGUGGACGGCCACACUGGGACUGAGACACGGCCCAGACUCCUACGGGAGGCAGCAGGAGGGAAUCUUCGGCAAUGGACGAAAGGCUGACCGAGCAACGCCGCGUGGGUGAAGAAGGGUCUCGGAUCGGAAAGCUCUGUUGUAAGAGAAGAACGGGUGUGAGAGUGGAAAGUUCACACUGUGACGGUAGCUUAACAGAAAGGGACGGCUAACUACGUG
rnacentral:rRNA from 1 species